rnacentral:rRNA from 1 species
AUUGAACGCUGGCGGCAGGCUUAACACAUGCACGUCGAGCGAGCGGCGGACGGGUGAGUAAUGUCUGGGCAACUGCCUGAUUGAGGGGGCUAACUACUGGCAACGGUAGCUAAUACCCCAUACCAUCAGAUGUGCCCCGAUGGGAUUAGCUAUUAGGUGGGGUAAUGGCUCAACUAGGCGACGAUCCCUAGCUGGGCUGUGAGGAUGACCAGGCACAAUGGAACUGAGACACGGUAGAGAAUCCUACGGUAGGCAGCAGUGGGGAAUAGUGCACAAUGGGAGCAAGACUGAUGCAGCAAUGCCGCGUGUGUGAAGAAGGCCUUCGGGUUGUAAAGCACUUUCAGCGAGGAGGCGUUACUCGCAGAAGAAGCACCGGCUAACGCCGUGCCAGCAGCCGCGGUAAUAC